CAAUAAGCGGAGGAAAAGAAACUAACAAGGAUUCCCCUAGUAACUGCGAGUGAAGCGGGAUGAGCUCAAAUUUAAAAUCUGGCGUCUUCGGCGUCCGAGUUGUAAUUUAGAGAAGUGUUUUCCGCGCCGGACCGUGUACAAGUCUCCUGGAACGGAGCGUCAUAGAGGGUGAGAAUCCCGUCUUUGACACGGACCCCCGGUGCUCUGUGAUACGCUCUCGAAGAGUCGAGUUGUUUGGGAAUGCAGCUCAAAAUGGGUGGUGAACUCCAUCUAAAGCUAAAUAUUGGCGAGAGACCGAUAGCGAACAAGUACCGUGAGGGAAAGAUGAAAAGCACUUUGGAAAGAGAGUGAAACAGUACGUGAAAUUGUUGAAAGGGAAACGCUUGAAGUCAGUCGCGUCCGCCGGGAUUCAGCCUUACGGUGUACUUUCCGGUGGACGGGCCAGCAUCACUUUCAAUCAUCGGAAAAAGGCGAAGGGAAUGUGGCACCUCCGGGUGUGUUAUAGCCCUUUGUUGUAUACGGUGACUGGGAGUGAGGACCGCCUUUGUAGGAUGCUGGCGUAAUGGCUUUAAACGACCCGUCUUGAAACACGGACCAAGGAGUCUAACAUGCCCGCGAGUGUUCGGGUGGAAAACCCGUGCGCGUAAUGAAAGUGAAAGUUGGGAAGGCUGUCGCGGCCUGCACCGACGCCCGGACUUGAGAUUUAUCGAAGGUUCUGCGGUAGAGCGUGUAUGUUGGGACCCGAAAGAUGGUGAACUAUGCCUGAAUAGGGUGAAGCCAGAGGAAACUCUGGUGGAGGCUCGUAGCGAUUCUGACGUGCAAAUCGAUCGUCAAAUUUGGGUAUAGGG
rnacentral:rRNA from 1 species